CUACUUACCUGGCAAGGGGGAACCCCAGUGAUCACGAAAGGGGGUUUUCCAGGGUGAGGCUUAUCCAUUGCACUUCGGAUGUGCUGGUCUCUCCAAUUUCCCCUAAGGUGGGGAACUCGACUGCAUAAUUUGUGGUAGUGGGGGACUGUGUUCGCCCGCUCCCCUG
ensembl:snRNA U1 U1 spliceosomal RNA